rnacentral:rRNA from 1 species
CCCUUAGACGUUCUGGGCCGCACGCGCGCUACACUGACCAGUGCAACAAGCAUCCGUCCUUGGCCGACAGGCCCGGGCAAUCUUUGAACGCUGUUCGUGAUUGGGAUAGACCUUUGCAAUUAUGGGUCUUCAACGAGGAAUUCCUAGUAAACGCAAGUCAUCAGCUUGCAUUGAUUACGUCCCUGCCCUUUGUACACACCGCCCGUCGCACCUACCGAUUGAAUGGUCCGGUGAAAUCUCGGGACGGCGGCUUGGUCGCUUGCGUCCGACUGCUGAAACUUGAUUAAACCAUAUCAUUUAGAGGAAGGUGANGUCGUAACA